rnacentral:rRNA from 1 species
CAGCCGCCGCGGGAAAACGUAGGUGGCGAGCGUUGUCCGGAAUUAUUGGGCGUAAAGGGCUCGCAGGCGGUUUCUUAAGUCUGAUGUGAAAGCCCCCGGCUCAACCGGGGAGGGUCAUUGGAAACUGGGAAACUUGAGUGCAGAAGAGGAGAGUGGAAUUCCACGUGUAGCGGUGAAAUGCGUAGAGAUGUGGAGGAACACCAGUGGCGAAGGCGACUCUCUGGUCUGUAACUGACGCUGAGGAGCGAAAGCGUGGGGAGCGAACAGGAUUAGAUACCCCAGUAGUCCCUGUCUCUUAUAA